GACGACGCUGGCGGCGUGCUUAACACAUGCAAGUCGAACGGAGUAUUGAGAAGCUUGCUUUAGAGAUACUUAGUGGCGGACGGGUGAGUAACGCGUGAGGAGCUGUCCUAUGCAGGGGGACAACAGCUGGAAACGGCUGCUAAUACCCCAUAAGCCGAGAGGUAAAAGGAUCAAUCCGGCAGAGGAGGUACUCGCGUCCUAUCAGCUAGUAGGUGAGGUAACGGCUCACCUAGGCGAAGACGGGUAGCCGGCCUGAGAGGGCGAACGGCCACACUGGAACUGAGAUACGGUCCAGACUCCUACGGGAGGCAGCAGUGGGGAAUAUUGGGCAAUGGGGGAAACCCUGACCCAGCGACGCCGCGUGGGUGAAGAAAUCCUUCGGGAUGUAAAGCCCUGUUGUAUGGGAAGAGCGGAAGACGGUACCAUACGAGGAAGCCCCGGCAAACUACGUG
rnacentral:rRNA from 1 species